UACGUAGGGGGCAAGCGUUGUCCGGAAUCAUUGGGCGUAAAGCGCGUGUAGGCGGCUCGGUAAGUCUGCUGUGAAAGUCCAGGGCUCAACCCUGGGAUGCCGGUGGAUACUGUCGAGCUCGAGUCCGGAAGAGGCGAGUGGAAUCCUGGUGUAGCGGUGAAAUGCGCAGAUAUCAGGAGGAACACCAAUGGCGAAGGCAGCUCGCUGGGACGUGACUGACGCUGAGACGCGAAAGCGUGGGGAG
rnacentral:rRNA from 1 species